rnacentral:ncRNA from 2 species
AUUAAAUAGUUUUGAAAUGGUGCCCGCAAGGGCUUAAUAGGGAAGAACGGUGUAAUGCCGGCGCGGUCCCGCCACUGUAAUAGGGAGUGAACCCAAAAAAUAGCCACUGGGAUGAACAAUCUUGGGAAGGUUUGGGUAAGUGAUGAACUAGAGCCAGGAGAACUGCCUGUUUGACAGUCACCAC